AGAGUUUGAUCCUGGCUCAGGACGAACGCUGGCGGCGUGCUUAACACAUGCAAGUGGAGCGACGAACCGGGCUUCGGCCCGGGGCAAAGCCGCGAACGGGUAAGUAUCACGUGGGUAACCUGCCCCGAUGACCGGGACAACCCGAGGAAACUCGGGCUAAUACCGGAUGUGCUCCUCACACAUCCGUGUGAGGAGAAAAGGAAGCUUCGGCCUCCGCAUUGGGAUGGGCCCGCGGCCCAUUAGCUUGUUGGUGAGGUAACGGCUCACCAAGGCGACGAUGGGUAGCUGGUCUGAGAGGACGAUCAGCCACACUGGGACUGAGACACGGCCCAGACUCCUACGGGAGGCAGCAGUGGGGAAUCUUGCGCAAUGCGCGAAAGCGUGACGCAGCAACGCCGCGUGAGGGAAGAAGGCCUUCGGGUUGUAAACCUCUCUCAGGAGGGACGAAGGUUCAGGCGCGAACAGCGACCUGAACUGACGGUACCUCCAGAAGAAGCCCCGGCUAACUACGUGCCAGCAGCCGCGGUAAUACGUAGGGGGCUAGCGUUGUCCGGAAUCAUUGGGCGUAAAGCGCGCGUAGGCGGCCCGGUAAGUCCGCUGUAAAAGUCAAAGGCUCAACCUUUGAAUGUCAGUGGAUACUGCCGGGCUAGAGUCCGGAAGAGGCGAGUGGAAUUCCUGGUGUAGCGGUGGAAUGCGCAGAUAUCAGGAGGAACACCAACGGCGAAGGCAGCUCGCUGGGACGGUACUGACGCUGAGGCGCGAAAGCGUGGGGAGCGAACAGGAUUAGAUACCCUGGUAGUCCACGCCGUAACGAUGGGCACUAGUGUGGAGGUGUCGACUCCUCCCGUGCCGGCGCUACGCAUUAAGUGCCCCGCCUGGGGGAGUACGGCCGCAGCUAAACUCAAAUGAAUUGACGG
rnacentral:rRNA from 1 species